UUGACAUCCAGAGAAUUUAGCAGAGAUGCUUUAGUGCCUUCGGGAACUCUGAGACAGGUGCUGCAUGGCUGUCGUCAGCUCGUGUUGUGAAAUGUUGGGUUAAGUCCGCAACGAGCGCAACCCUUAUCCUUUGUUGCCAGCACGUAAUGGUGGGAACUCAAAGGAGACUGCCGGUGAUAAACCGGAGGAAGGUGGGGAUGACGUCAAGUCAUCAUGGCCCUUACGAGUAGGGCUACACACGUGCUACAAUGGCGCGUACAAAGAGAAGCGACCUCGCGAGAGCAAGCGGACCUCAUAAAGUGCGUCGUAGUCCGGAUUGGAGUCUGCAACUCGACUCCAUGAAGUCGGAAUCGCUAGUAAUCGUAAAUCAGAAUGUUACGGUGAAUACGUUCCCGGGCCUUGUACACACCGCCCGUCACACCAUGGGAGUGGGUUGCAAAAGAAGUAGAUAGCUUAACCUUCGGGAGGGCGUUUACCACUUUGUGAUUCAUGACUGGGGUGAAGUCGUAACAAGGUAAGCGUAGUGCU
rnacentral:rRNA from 1 species